rnacentral:lncRNA from 1 species
CCUUGAGCUCCUUCCUGCCAGGCGUGAAGUGCACCCUCCUGGUUACCUGCGACCUGUGCAUAUUGUACUGUGCGGGGCAGCAGAGACAACUGAGAUUUUAACUCGCUGGAAACAAAUUCAGGACCCUUUCUCUAAACGGUCCUGUUCAGAAGCUCGAAUGGAGAGGCUGUUUCACACCUUCUCUCUCUGCAAAGACCACCCACCACCACCACCACCCCGCCUCCCAGCCUGCCUUGAGGACUCUGCUGCUGAUGUCCCUGAGAGAGUGGAAGCAACCAGAUGAGACCGACUGCCCAACCCCAGUCCCUGACUUGCGGGAGAGCAGUGGCCUGUGCCUUGUGCGCCGAGAUGCCAAGGUCAAGGCCUAGGCCCCAGCGUCUUCUCCAGCCUCUCUCCCCUUGGCGCCUGGUUUUCCUCCCACCUUGACCAGACCCUGCCUGACCUCAGACAGCCCCAGACUCUGCAGUCUCCCCAUCCACCCUCCCCAGAUCUCAUCUGGCCUUGACACCUCAGCUGCUCCUUCUCAAUCAGGACACGUAGGAUGUCCUGAGGACCUGUGAUCAAGCCCCCUUACCCUUCCUCUCCCAGCUGCUCAGGCCAGAUGCUGGAGCAUCAGCCUUCAUCUCCCUCUAGAGCUCGCACUCCACAUCCAGUCCACCAACAUCACCAUGCCAUCCCCAGUCCAACCUCGAAUGUGUCCUCCACAGCUGCUCCACACAGCAGCCAGGACAGUCCUUCUAGAACAAUCAAGUCUCAUCACUGCCUCUGCUCAGCGUCCUCCAAGAGGCUCCACUCACCUCCUUCUCAUGGCCUCCAAGGCCUGAGUGGUCUGACCACUGCCUGCCUUGGCCCUCACCUGCUCCCCUGCACCCUAGCAUGGGCUCCUGCCUUGUCCCAGAAACACACCCUUGCUGGUGCCUUUGCCUGGACAGCCUUCCCCUCACAUUUUCAGGUCAUUCAGACCCUAUUCAAAUGAUGUCUCCUCAGAUAGAUCUCACUGAUUGUCUCCUCCUGUAGCUGGAAUAUAAACCUCAUGAGAGCAAGGACUGUGGUGUUCACCACGGAAUCUUUGGGACUCGGAGCAGCGUCUGCUUAGCAGAUGUUGAAUCAAUGUUGGAUGGAUGGAGACAGG